rnacentral:rRNA from 1 species
UUACAGAACGCCCGGGCUUCGGCCUGGUUAUUCAUAACCCUUUGUUGUCCGACUCUGUUGCCUCCGGGGCGACCCUGCCUUCGGGCGGGGGCUCCGGGUGGACACUUCAAACUCUUGCGUAACUUUGCAGUCUGAGUAAACUUAAUUAAUAAAUUAAAACUUUUAACAACGGAUCUCUUGGUUCUGGCAUCGAUGAAGAACGCAGCGAAAUGCGAUAAGUAAUGUGAAUUGCAGAAUUCAGUGAAUCAUCGAAUCUUUGAACGCACAUUGCGCCCCCUGGUAUUCCGGGGGGCAUGCCUGUUCGAGCGUCAUUUCACCACUCAAGCCUCGCUUGGUAUUGGGCAACGCGGUCCGCCGCGUGCCUCAAAUCGUCCGGCUGGGUCUUCUGUCCCCUAAGCGUUGUGGAAACUAUUCGCUAAAGGGUGUUCGGGAGGCUACGCCGUAAAACAACCCCAUUUCUAAGGUUGACCUCGGAUCAGGUAGGGAUACCCGCUGAACUUAAGCAUAU